AUUGAAUUUCUCCAUGACCCACUUCAAGUAUCAGUUCAAGACUAUGGAUUACAAUCACAGCAGAGAUUUAUCCUCAAAGGCAAACAAUAAUAAGCCAGCUUGGCUGCUAUAUAACGACAAUGACUCUGGAUUUAUUGCUGCAAGAGGAAUGAAUUCUUAUUUCAAGAGGCCACAAGAUACUUUGGACAAAGUUGAGACUAUAAACUCAGAAAACUUGGAGAUGAGGUUUAAUGUGGCCACCUGCUGGGUGAACCUGUGUAAACUUAACUUUUUAGGCUGGUAUUUAUUCAAACAGCUGUAUAUUAUGUUGAAACUAAUAUUAUUUCAUUUUGUAAUAGCCC
rnacentral:lncRNA from 1 species